AAAGUCGUAACAAGGUUUCCGUAGGUGAACCUGCGGAAGGAUCAUUAACACGUAUCCAACGUUAAACCCCCCUGUGAACUUUAACUUCUUGCUCUUGAAGCACAUGUUAAAUUGCAAUCCCUGGUAAAUCAUUGUUGAACAGAUUUUGAUUCAGGGACCUCAGUUUAUUGGGCUUUGAUUGAAGCGAUCGUUGCAAGCGACCUGGUUUCCCCAAGCAGUCAGUGUCUGAAAGUGUCAUUGGCUGUGUAAGGAUAACGCCAUCGAUCACUGGAGGCCGAACACCGGCCGGUGAACAGGACGCCGCGGCCCUCGGCCCCCCAUAUUAACCCCACUACCAGAACUCGCCUCGUAGGAAACUGCUGGGCAACAAAACGAACAACUGUUAACAAUGGAUAUCUUGGUUCUC
rnacentral:misc_RNA from 1 species